CCUACGGGUGGCUGCAGUGGGGACUAUUGGGCAAUGGGCGCAAGCCUGACCCAGCAACGCCGCGUGAAGGAAGAAGGCUUUCGGGUUGUAAACUUCUUUUAAGGGGGAAGAGCAGAAGACGGUACCCCUUGAAUAAGCCACGGCUAACUACGUGCCAGCAGCCGCGGUAAUACGUAGGUGGCAAGCGUUGUCCGGAUUUAUUGGGUUUAAAGGGUGCGUAGGCGGAAUGCCAAGUCAGCGGUAAAAUCGCGGGGCUCAACCUCGCUCCGCCGUUGAAACUGGCGUUCUUGAGUGGGCGAGAAGGAUGCGGAAUGCGUGGUGUAGCGGUGAAAUGCAGAGAUAUCACGCAGAACUCCGAUUGCGAAGGCAGCAUACCGGCGCCCAACUGACGCUGAAGCACGAAAGCGUGGGUAUCGAACAGGAUUGGAUACCCCGGUAGUC
rnacentral:rRNA from 1 species